UGUCUUCAGCUCUACAAUCCUCAACCUGUGUCCUGAGAGAGCUGGACCUGAGUAACAAUGACCUGCAGGAUUCAGGAGUGAAGCUUCUCUCUGAUGAUGACUGAAGAGUCAACACUGUAAACUGGAGACACUGAGAUUGUCUGGCUGUAUGGUGACAGAGGAAGGCUGUGUUUUCUGUCUUCAGCUCUGACUUCAAACCCCUCACACCUGAGAGAGCUGGAUCUGAGCUACAAUCAUCCAGGAGAUUCAGGAGUCAAGCUGCUCUCUGAACAACUGGAGGAUCCAAACUACACACUGGCCAAACUCAAUCUGGAUCAUGGAGGAGACGCGAGGAUUACAGCAGGACCGCGCAAAUAUGUCUGUUUCCUCACACUGGAUCCAAACACAGCACACACUCGACUCAUUCUGUGUGAGAACAGAGAGGUGAAGAGUGUGUCGAAGAAUCAGCCGUAUCCUGAUCAUCCAGACAGAUUUGAUGGUGUGUAUCCUCAGGUGUUGUGCAGAGAGAGUGUGUGUGGACGCUGUUACUGGGAGAUUGACUGGAGUGGAGAUGGUGGUGUGGAAAUAUCAGUGUCAUAUAAGAGCAUCAGGAGGAAGGGAGGAGGUGUUGAGUGUGUGUUUGGAUCUAAUGCUCAGUCCUGGAGUUUGAGCUGCUCUUCCUCCAGAUUCACAUUCAUACACAAUAACACACACACU